AAAAGGCUCAUAUCCAACACCAAUAUACAUGAUAUAUAAUUAAGAAAUCAACGACAGUCGGACGGAUAACAACUACCCUAAGCCCACAAUCAAACAAGAACAGGAAAUAAGGCGAGCUAUCGGUCCUAAGUCCUUCAAGUCUUACUUAUAUAAAUAUAUUAGUGUGGUUACAUUUUAUAAGAAAAUAUAUUUAANGAGUUAUCGGUCCUAUCUCCUUCAAGUCUUACUUAUAUAAAUAUAUUAGUGUGGUUACAUUUUAUAAGAAAAUAUAUUUAAUAAAAAUCUUGUCAAAAGGGAACAUUUAGAAAAUAGUUUAUUUAUCCAAAAUAGUUUUGAAAACGCAAAGUUCUUUUAUAAGGCAUAGUGAUAAAUCACAUGUGAUUUGAACUACGGAUAGUGAAUCACAUGUGACUAAUUUUCAUAAACAUGUAUAUUUGACUUGUAUCCCCCCCUAAAACAUUAAAAACAUUUGAAAGGUUCAUUAAAGGGGUAUGAACUCACAGUUUAUCGUAGGGUUCGAGUGUCAACGGAUGCCCUGAAUGCCAAUGGUCCCUAUAAAUCAUGUGAUGAGACAUAAUUAGGUUAGAACUAGGGUGUUUCAUGCAUAAACAUGAUGGAAAAACAUCCUUAGCACUCGGCAUUACUGAGUACAAGUGUCUCACGAUCCAUACUUAAUGAUUCAUGCAAGUUUAGGGCCAAAAGUAGGCAUUUGAGUGAGUGCAUGGCCAUGAAAUUGAGUGUGCGGAUGAGGUGUGCGGCCAGAAGGGUGUGUGAGGCUGCACACAAGUGUGUGCGGCCUUUCAGGGUGUGUGUGCGGCCGUUCAGAGUGUGUGUGCGGCCGUACGCAGGAGUGUGCGGCCGUACACUCCUCUUGUGAGUCCAUUUGAAGUGUUUGCUCUUCACACUAAGGAGAUUUGAAUGUGUGUUGCCCCCCU
rnacentral:lncRNA from 1 species